rfam:Homo sapiens chromosome 4, GRCh38 reference primary assembly.
GGGAAACGGGGAAGAGGGGUCAGCCCCAGGCCCCGCAACAAAGUGGGGCA